UGCGUAGGCGGCUUGUCAAGCCAGAGGUGAAAGGCAUUGGCUCAACCAAUGUAAGCCUUUGGAACUGACGAACUUGAGUACAGGAGAGGUAAGUGGAAUUCCUAGUGUAGAGGUGAAAUUCGUAGAUAUUAGGAGGAACACCAGUGGCGAAGGCGACUUACUGGACUGUAACUGACGCUGAGGCACGAAAGCGUGGGCAGCGAACA
rnacentral:rRNA from 1 species